rnacentral:ncRNA from 1 species
GACCCUAAAAAGUCCCCUAGACACAAAGGUUUGGUCCUAGCCUUGAGAUCAUUUGUUACUUAAUAUACACAUGCAAGUCUCCGCACCCCUGUGAAAACGCCCUUAUAAUCCCCAAUAGGGAAUAGGAGCUGGUAUCAGGCACGAAUAAUCUGCCCAAAACACCUAGCUUUGCCACACCCACAAGGGAAUUCAGCAGUGAUUAACAUUGAAUAUAAGCGCCAGCUUGAUUCAGCCAAAGUAAAGAGAGCCGGCAAAUCUGGUGCCAGCCGCCGCGGUUACACCACGUGGCUCAAAUUGAUUUUUAUCGGCGUAAAGCGUGAUUAAAGUCACCAUUAAAUUUAGGAUUAAACUGAAACUAAGCUGUGACACGCUUGUUACUUAAGAAACCCGAAAACGAAAGUUAUUCUAAUUAAUACAACUUGAAUUCACGACAGCUGAAGCACAAACUGGGAUUAGAUACCCCACUAUGUUCAGCCGUAAACUUUAAAUUACAACCCCAUCGCCAGGGAACUACGAGCAAUGCUUAAAACUCAAAGGACUUGACGGUACCCCAUAUCCCCCUAGAGGAGCCUGUCCUAUAAUCGAUAAUCCCCGUUUAACCUCACCACUUUUAGCCUUCUCAACCUGUAUACCUCCGUCGUCAGCUUACCUCGUGAGCGAAAUCUAGUGAGCCUAAUGUCUCCACAUCAAUACGUCAGGUCAAGGUGCAGUUUAUAAAGUGGCAAGAGAUGGGCUACACUUUCUAAUAUAGAAAAUACGAAAAACUACAUAUGAAAUCUAGUUGGAAGGCGGAUUUAGCAGUAAAAAGAAAAUAGAGUGUUCUUUUUAAUUCGGCACUGGGGUGUGUACACACCGCCCGUCACCCUCUUCAAAGCUUAUCGGAAGUAACUUAACUAAUUUUUGCAACAAUAGAAGAGGCAAGUCGUAACAUGGUAAGUAUACCGGAAGGUGUGCUUGGAUU